CAUUAUUAUACCAGCAAUCCAGCCUGAAGGACUUAGCUCAUAGAUGUCUUCUGAAAUGUGGAAGAAAUACUUUCGUUUGUCAUAAAACCUCAGCAGGAGAUUGGAGUCUGGAAGAGGGAGGGGAGAAGAGGAGGACCUCAGGGAGGCAAGUUAAACAGUCCAGUUUUUGCAUCUUAAUUUCCUUCUCUGUGCUUUUGUCUUUCAAGGGGUGGUGCCGGGCACAGGUAUUUUAGAUAAAUAAGUGGGAUGGCAAGAGAAGGACCUUUUUACUGCUUACCCAUUUAUUGGGUGACAAUCCAGUAUGCUGUCCAGAAUGCAAUAUUUUUGAGAGUAAAAGAAAUCAUACUGGGCCAGAUCAUAAAACCCAGCAUUUUUUCUCCACAGAUUGUUUUGCUUAUUGGUGUUUAAUUAAAAACCAAACAACUUUUCCUAUUAACUUGAUGCUACUUAUUAAUUGAAAUGAGGAGACUGACUCUGGAUAUUGGGAAAAUUUAUGGUCUGGAAUAGCAAAUUGACCUCAAAAGAUAUAUUUUGAUCAGGAUGAAUUCCAAAGCUGAAAUUAGUUGUUCUCUGAGUUCAGAGUUUUAGAUUAAACAUCUCUCUCUUGAUAUAUAUAUCUAUGCCAGACCCUAGUAAUCACCAUUCCACUCUCUACUUCUAUGAGUUUGACUAAGAUUCCACAUGGUGACCAUUAUUCUGAGUGUUUUAAAAGCAAUAUUUUUCUAUUGAAGAAAUGAAAAUAGCAGUCAUUCAAAAUCCUAUUGUGCUAUCUUUUGAUCAUCAUAAUAAGCAAACGCAAAUAAUUCUCCCUUGGUGAUCCAAUUAAAUGAUUUUAAAAUAUCAGUGUCAAAGCUGUUCCUUCUAAAAUUUAAGGCAAAUCUAAUAGAUUCUAAACAUAGAUUUGGGGAAUAUAGGAAAAAGUGAUAUAAAUCAUAAACCUGCAGAGGGGAUUUUCUACACAGUAUUAUUACAAUAAUCUCCCCUUGAAAAAGGAUACUAAGAGUCUCACUGUCUAUGCUUAGAUUUAACAUGAAUACAAUAUGAAUCAGAGAAAACUUUUUAUUGAUCAGCAUAAGAUGGUUAGAAGAAUGCUCUAAUAUCCAAGUAAUAACCAUGAUGUUGAACUCUGUUCUUUAAAUAAGACAAAGUAGUUGAAACAGUUGUAAUUAUCUGAUACUCUCACCUGUAGGUGUAGGUAAAGUAAACCAGUGAGAGCUAAGCUCCCACUCUGCUGCAGCAGAGGGAGAUGAACAGACUAGUAGGAAAGGGACUGCUCAUGGAGGACAUGGGUUGUGGUGUUAGAGAGCAAUAUAAAAAGCUGGGCUGUGGUCAGGGCUGGAACUGCUGAAGUACACAGUGCAAUUGUGCUUUGAGACCUAACUUGCCCUUGAUCACAUCUAUGAGAAAUAGGCCCAGAAAGAGUCACUUAUGGUCCAAAGGUAGCAUUAGCAUUCUAAACACAUCUAGUCAUUUCCAUUCCAAGGAAGAAUGCCCAGAUAGAUAGUUGUGAACAUCUCUUAUCUUGGGAUCAAUAAUGGAAGAAUAGAGGAGCGAUUUGCUUCACUUCUCUUUUUUCUUUUUAAAAUGCACUGUAACCAAUGUGUCUGGCUUGAAGGCUAUUAACUGGGUUGCAUCAUACUGGUGGGCUAGGGAGUUAAACAAUACAGACUAGAAGUCAUUGCUACAGGUUUUUUUUUUUUAUAAAGCAUAUGCUAAUGUGAUACACAUUUAUCUCAAACAUGUAUCCCAAAACCUACUCAUUAUUUUAUCUCCCAAGAUUAUUUCCUUUGUUCUUGAUUAAUAUUAUCACUAUACGCCUGCUUUUCAAGGUCAUAAAUCUCUGUAUUCCAUUCAAUUUCACUCCUUUCUAACUCUUCACAUAAAAUUUGUUAAUUUAGACCAGUACGUGUCAGACACUAUUCUGGGAACUAGUUGUAUUUUAGUGAAAAGAAAUCGACAAUAAAAACAUUACCUGUCCUCAUGGUGUUGACAGGAGACAAGCUCACAAAUAAAUAUAUGAUUUAGUGGAGUGUUAUGAUUUGUUAUGUUUUGUCAUUAUUUUUAUAUGCUUUUAUAUAAAAUAUGUUAUAUCAUUUAUAUAAUAAAUAAUUGUUUAGAAGUAUCAGUAAAAUAUCUUGAAUAGGAAUGAAACGAUAAUUUAAAAUGAGUGGUAUCAGCAGAAAACAUUAUAGUGGACCCAGAAGGACCAAAAAAACAAAAAUAUAAUUUUGUUAUUCACAGAAAAUACCUUGAGCCUAGGAAUAUUUAAUUAAGCAAACAUUUUUCAGACAUGCGCUAUGUAUAUUUUUAUUAACUCCACAAAAAUUUCUUGAGAAUCUUUUGGGCACUGGGACAAAAUAGUAAACACCCUAUAUAAAAUCCCUACCCUUAUGGAAUUUACAUUCUAGUGGAGAAGACAGAUGAAUAAGAAAAUGCCACACACAUACUUCUUAACUAUUCUACUUCCUAGCUUUCCCAGUCUGCCCCCCAUUCAAUAAAACCUUUCUUACCAGUGCCCUGUUGUGGCCCUUUCCAACCACAGAUUAUUGUAUCAAUUGGUCUCCACUUCAUCAUCUAUAUUGUCAUAGUUAUCCUUCUAAAGCAUAGAGUUCAUCAUUAGAGCCCUCUGAUAUUAACCUUUUAUGACUUCCUGUCAUCUUCCUUAUGAUUUCAUUUACAUUCCAGUCCUGUGAUUCUCCAAUCCUAUUUACUGCUUUAUAACCUGAGCAACAUAUCCUCUUAGCUGCAACUUCAGCUUUUAGCUUAAGAAUUGCUCAUACUUCAUUGAGAAAAUAUAAGCAACCACAUAGGAGUGUUUUCAUCUUCUUACCUCCGUAUUGUAACCCUAUUUCCAUAAAAUAAUAUGUAUCAUAUUCUUUUUUCUUCCUUUGCAGCCUGUCGAUGGCAAAUAUUUCCACUUGUGCUUCCCUUUAGUUUCAAGACCUUUGCACUUGAAGUAAUUGUAUCAUAAGUUUCUUCUUUUCUAGCGUGUUAUUCCCACCUGUAUACAAUAUGCUAAUUCAUUUAAAACAUCUAUUCCUUGAUUUUCCAUUUCCCUAAAGAUAUUACUCCAUUUUUUGUAAUAUUGUUAUCUUAACUUGCUCUCUCCAUUCUUCACCUACUGCUUACUAAUCAACCUACUCCAAUCUGGCUUCCAUUUCUGCCAUUCAUGGAAACCUCAGCCCAUCUUCUCUCUUUUCUUUUCUUCUCUCCUGCCUCAUUUCCUUUCUUUAUUUUGCCAAGGACAUCAAUAAUAACCACAUUGCCAAAUCUAAUAAACCUUUCUGUACUCAUGUUACCCUGCUACUCAGGAGCAUUCAAUAUGAGUCAGCCUGCAUUCCUUGAAAAACUUGACUGUCUAGACUACUUCUUCCUUUCCAGUCUCCUUGUUCUGGAUGAUCCUUCCCCUUUACCUGAAAUCAUAAUUAUCCACACCCUCUCCCUAGGUGAUUGCACUUAGUCACUGUGAUUUAAAUGCUAACAAUUGAAAAACGAAAGAGCUCCAGACGUAUACACCUACUGCUUAUUGUACUUGUCCAGUUGAAUGCCUACUAGGCAUUUCAAGCUUGAAUUUUACAAACCAGAACUUCUGUUUUUUUUCCACUCCCCACCUGUUCUUCGAAAAGUCUUCCCCAUCCCAAUAAGUGGUACCACCAAACACCCAAUUAUGCAAACCCCAAUACCUAGAAGUUAUCCAUGAUUUCUUUAUUUUUUCCUCAUCCCCCCACAGCAUCCAUUAGCAUGUUCAAAAUAUAUUUUGAAUCUCUCUGCUUCUUUCCAUUUAUACUGUUACUACCUUGUUUUAAGUCACAUUCAUCUUUUCUGGACAAUUGUGGCAGCUUCUUAACUGCUAUCUUUGCUUCCUCUCUUAUUCAUGCCCACAUAGCAGCCAGAGUAAUCUUUAUUAAAAUAUGCAUCAGAUCCUGUCACCCCCUUACUUAAAACUCUUCAAUCGUUUUCCAUUUUGUUGAAAAUAAAGUCCAGAAACUUUUCUGCCAAGGCCCUGCAGGAUUUAGUUCCUGGAUUUCUCUCUGGGAUUAUUCCUUACUGUUCUGCUCUAGCUGAUUUCAUUCUAGCCACACCAUCCUCCUUUCUGUUCCUUGAAUAAGCCAAACUCUUUUCCAUUUCAGAACCUUUCAUUUGAUACUCCUAACACUUGGAAUCCUCUUUCUCCGGCUUUUUGCAUAGCAGCUUAUUUUUCUUUGACUCUUAGCUCAAAUGUCAUUUCCUUAGAGAAGGCUUCUUUACUUUUUACUCUAAAUAGCAUAUUGGUCUUGUGAGAAUAUCUACAACAAACAUUUUCUAGGGUCAAAUACAGUUUGACGGUUUUAUAUAUAUUACAUUGCCUUUUUGGAAUUCUUAUGCACAGUAGCACAUUAUAGCUUCAUUAAUUCAUACAUUCAUUCUUUUAGUUAACAUUUAUGAACACCUGCUAUGUGCCCCAAAUUAUUCUAGGUGCUUGAGAUACAUCAAAUAGUAAAACAGACACAAUUCCUAAUUUGUAAAGUUUACAUUCUAGUGAGUGAGACAAAUAAUAAACACUUAACAUAAUUCAAAACAAAUUAUAUAGUAUAAGGAAGGUCAUUCAUGCUGCAGAAAAAGAGAGUUAGGUAAGUAGGAUUGAGAGUGCCAUGGUGGUUGCGGUAUUCUGAGAAUCAUAUUAUGAAGAAACCAGCAUUUUUCAAAAUUAUUAAACCAUGCAACACACAUUAUAAUGUUGUGAAACUAAUUUUCCAAGGAACACACUUUAGGAAAUUAUGAUAAGCCUACCUUUCAUUCUCUUCUCUCCUACAUUCAUUUUACAGAGUAGAAGCCUGAGUUCUAGAGAAGCCAUCUAAUUAUCCAUGAGUCACAAAUCCUUCCUAGAAAUUUAAGAUAUGAUGUACGCUUUACAAAGUCGAUUGUGAGGAUUAUGAUAGAAAUAAUCAGUUGCAUAUCUAGGAUAUUUGGCACUUGAAGUAACUUGUUUAUAUGACAAAAUUUCUUCCAGUAAUAGUCAUGAAAUAGGACAAAUAAAAUAAUGGUUAGAAAAAUCAGCAGACUUUAAAAUUUUUCUUCUAUUGAAUUUUGUAUAUGUAAUAAUGCCAAUAAAAAGAAUAGUAAGUAAAUAAAUAUUACAGUACAAAAUGAGAAAGGUAAUGGGUUAAUACUUUUAAGUUACAAUAAUAUUCUCUUUUUAAAAACAUGCCCAAAUAGGUGGUCUGUUACAUAUAACAAUUAUUAGGGACUGAAUGUGUCCCUACCUGACUUCCAGCCCUAAAUUUGUACGCUGAAACUCUAACUCCCAUGUCACUAUAUUUAGAGUAAGGAAGUAAAUAAGGUCAAAUGAGGGCAUAAGGAUGGCGUUCUGAUCUAAUAGAAUUUGUGUCUUUAUAAGAAGAGACAUCUUUUUUUUCUGUCUUUCCCCGAGGGCACAUACAGAGGAAAAGACAUGUGGGGACAUAAUGAGAGGACAGCCAUCUGCAAGCCAAGAAGAGAAUCCUCACCAGAAACCAACUUGACUGGAAUCUUGAUCUUGAACUUCUUGCUUCCAGAAUUAUGAGAAAAUAAAUUGUUGUUUAACCCACACAGUCUAUUGUACUUAGUUGUAGCAGUCUGAGAAGACUAAUACAUUGAUAAACUGGUCAGUUACAACAAUGAAUAUAUUAUUUAUACAUUAUAUAAAUGAUUAUAGUUUCUGUAUUAGCUUAGAUUUUGCAAAUUUGUCAAUAGCUUUGUCCAAGUUGAUUUUCUUUAUAUAUUCCUAUUUCAUAGACUAUAUUAGCUAGAUUUGUCAAUCUAUCUUACUCAUAAUGACUGAAGAACACUUUUAAAUUCAAUUUAAAAGGUUUUUGUCACAUAAAGCAACA
rnacentral:lncRNA from 1 species